rnacentral:rRNA from 1 species
UCUUCCGCAAUGGGCGAGAGCCUGACGGAGCAAUGCCGCGUGUGGGAUGAAGCGCCUUCGGCGUGUAAACCACUGUCAGGGAAUGGAACCAAUGAUUAUUCCCAAAGGAAGUGGCGACUAACUCUGUGCCAGCAGUCGCGGUAAUACAGAGGCCACAAGCGUUAGUCGGAAUCACUGGGCUUAAAGGGUGCGUAGGCGGGCUCGCAAGCGUCUUGUGAAAUCCCAUGGCUCAACCAUGGAAUUGCAGGGCGAACUGCGGGUCUUGAGGCAGGUAGGGGCCGGAAGAACAGUAGGUGGAGCGGUGAAAUGCGUAGAUAUCUACUGGAAUGCCGAUGGGGAAGCCGGCCGGCUGGGCCUUCCUGACGCUGAGGCACGAAA